rnacentral:rRNA from 1 species
AUUGAACGCUGGCGGCAGGCCUAACACAUGCAAGUCGAGCGGAGCGGCGGACGGGUGAGUAAUGCCUAGGAAUCUGCCUGGUAGUGGGGGAUAACGUCCGGAAACGGGCGCUAAUACCGCAUACUAUCAGAUGAGCCUAGGUCGGAUUCGCUCGUUGGUGGGGUAAAGGCCUACCAAGGCGAUGAUCCGUAACUGGUCUGAGAGGAUGAUCAGUCACACUGGACCUGAGACACGGUCCAGACUCCUACGGGAGGCAGCAGUGGGGAAUAUUGGACAAUGGGCGAAAGCCUGAUCCAGCCAUGCCGCGUGUGUGAAGAAGGCCUUCGGGUUGUAAAGCACUUUCAGGGGGGAGGCGUUACCCGCAGAAGAAGCACCGGCUAACUCCGUGCCAGCAGCCGCGGUAAUUC